GUUUUACCGAAAAUGGGUUAAAUAGGGAGACCACAGUACUUUUAAUUCUUGCUAUGUACGUCCACGGCCAAGUGGCAGAGGGAAUAAGAGGAUAUCCGAGCUGUGUUGAUAUGUGUGAGGUUUCUGUCUGCUCUGGAACGUGAGGCUGUGGAGGAGUGAGAGGCAGAGCUUCUGGAGAGGGAACAGUGGCUGGACAUCUGACCGCUGCACAGGAGCGGUGAAAUGCUUACUUGUGCCUGUGGUGUUGGAGAAUAGUUCCUCCAUUUCAGCAAUGUCUCUCCAAGGACCGCUGUGGUUGGGAACGCUGCCAUUAAGAGACUCUGUCUUGGUGGAAAGCUUCGGGUUGGAAAGAGCAAACUGUG